rnacentral:rRNA from 1 species
CGUCCGCCCUGGGUUAGUCGGGACCUAAGCUGAGGCCGAAAGGCGUAGGUGAUGGACAACAGGUUGAUAUUCCUGUACUACCGAUAACCGUUUGAGAGAUGGGAUGACACAGUAGGAUAAGCUAAGCACACUGUUGGUUAUGUGUGCCCAAGCAUUGAGGCAGUCAAAGUAGGUAAAUCCGCUUUGAUAAUGCUGGGAUGUGAUGGGGAGCGAAAUUUAGUAGCGAA